AACUCUUUCCCAGUUGCUCCCAUAUGAGUUUCCCAUCUAAAGGUGUUUUAUUUAUGGCUGUUCUGGGUAUGCUGUGGUCUGGCCAAGCAUUUGAUUCCCUCCAUUAGUUUUCUAACUCAAUGCACUACUUCUUAGUUCUUAUGAUGGUUGCAAUGAAUAAAGCAUUGGAUCUGGAUGGUUGUAUUGUAGUUGCUACUCCGCUACGAUAAACGGACACGUGCAGGAUAGCAAGUCGAAACGAAAGGAUUUUCUGUUUAGUCCCUUUCCUUUCCUUCCUUUUCCUUUAAAACACAGUGGCGCUUCUUGUCAAUCCAUCCCCGCGAUCCCUGAGUUGAGUUACCACAUCGCCUCCAGAGUAGAGUUAGACCAGAGCAAUACCGGUCCUGGUUUGCGCCAAAACCAAACCGUUAUAAUGGUUAUUCGGAUACGUACAGAAGUCCAUACCUCAGGGUUACAAAUUUAUGUGCCCAUGCGCGCAUACCUUACACUACAGCGAGCGACGGGAUGUGCUCCUUUUCAUGGAGCCCUUCCUUGCAGACCAUUAUAUUUGGUUAUUUGCUAACAACAGCCCUGAGGAACGAAGCUUGGCGUACGCUCGAGUAGGAGCGUAAGUUUUAGGAGAUACCAACAGCCGUAUUUUAAUUGUAUACCGGGUGGUGCCUAGCGCGACGCAGCAUAGGGAUUUCAAUGGUAAUUUCUUUAUAGUCAAUUACUAGCUCCCCUAAUUAUUUUAUAGCAAAACUCUAAAUAGGUUUUUUUAGAGAAAA